rnacentral:rRNA from 1 species
AAGGUCCCUAAAUGUAAGUUAAGUGGUAAAGGAUGUGGGAUUGCACAGACAACCAGGAUGUUGGCUUAGAAGCAGCAACUCAUUCAAAGAGUGCGUAAUAGCUCACUGGUCGAGUGAUCCUGCGCCGAAGAUUUCCGGGGCUAAAACUUACUACCGAAGCUACGGCAUCAGUAAUGAUGGGUAGGGGAGCUUCCCAUACGGGUUGAAGCAUGACCGUAAGGACAUGUGGACAGUAUGGGAGCGAGAAUGUUGGCAUGAGUUGCGAGAUGUGGGUGGGAAUCCCACAGGCCGUAAACCCAAGGUUUCCAGGGGAAGGUUCGUCCGCCCUAGGUUAGUCGGGACCUACGCUGGGGCCGGAAGGCGUAGGUGAUGGACAACAGGUUGAUAUUCCUGUACUACCGAU